GGCGGCGUGCCUAAUACAUGCAAGUCGAACGAGUUCUCGUUGAUGAUCGGUGCUUGCACCGAGAUUCAACAUGGAACGAGUGGCGGACGGGUGAGUAACACGUGGGUAACCUGCCCUUAAGUGGGGGAUAACAUUUGGAAACAGAUGCUAAUACCGCAUAGAUCCAAGAACCGCAUGGUUCUUGGCUGAAAGAUGGCGUAAGCUAUCGCUUUUGGAUGGACCCGCGGCGUAUUAGCUAGUUGGUGAGGUAAUGGCUCACCAAGGCGAUGAUACGUAGCCGAACUGAGAGGUUGAUCGGCCACAUUGGGACUGAGACACGGCCCAAACUCCUACGGGAGGCAGCAGUAGGGAAUCUUCCACAAUGGACGCAAGUCUGAUGGAGCAACGCCGCGUGAGUGAAGAAGGCUUUCGGGUCGUAAAACUCUGUUGUUGGAGAAGAAUGGUCGGCAGAGUAACUGUUGUCGGCGUGACGGUAUCCAACCAGAAAGCCACGGCUAACUACGUGCCAGCAGCCGCGGUAAUACGUAGGUGGCAAGCGUUAUCCGGAUUUAUUGGGCGUAAAGCGAGCGCAGGCGGUUUUUUAAGUCUGAUGUGAAAGCCCUCGGCUUAACCGAGGAAGCGCAUCGGAAACUGGGAAACUUGAGUGCAGAAGAGGACAGUGGAACUCCAUGUGUAGCGGUGAAAUGCGUAGAUAUAUGGAAGAACACCAGUGGCGAAGGCGGCUGUCUGGUCUGUAACUGACGCUGAGGCUCGAAAGCAUGGGUAGCGAACAGGAUUAGAUACCCUGGUAGUGCCACUGCCGUAAACGAUGAAUGCUAGGUGUUGGAGGGUUUCCGCCCUUCAGUGCCGCAGCUAACGCAUUAAGCAUUCCGCCUGGGGAGUACGACCGCAAGGUUGAAACUCAAAGGAAUUGACGGGGGCCCGCACAAGCGGUGGAGCAUGUGGUUUAAUUCGAAGCAACGCGAAGAACCUUACCAGGUCUUGACAUCUUUUGAUCACCUGAGAGAUCAGGUUUCCCCUUCGGGGGCAAAAUGACAGGUGGUGCAUGGUUGUCGUCAGCUCGUGUCGUGAGAUGUUGGGUUAAGUCCCGCAACGAGCGCAACCCUUAUGACUAGUUGCCAGCAUUUAGUUGGGCACUCUAGUAAGACUGCCGGUGACAAACCGGAGGAAGGUGGGGAUGACGUCAAAUCAUCAUGCCCCUUAUGACCUGGGCUACACACGUGCUACAAUGGAUGGUACAACGAGUUGCGAGACCGCGAGGUCAAGCUAAUCUCUUAAAGCCAUUCUCAGUUCGGACUGUAGGCUGCAACUCGCCUACACGAAGUCGGAAUCGCUAGUAAUCGCGGAUCAGCACGCCGCGGUGAAUACGUUCCCGGGCCUUGUACACACCGCCCGUCACACCAUGAGAGUGUGUAACACCCGAAGCCGGUGGCGUAACCCUUUUAGGGAGCGAGCCGUCUAAGGUGGGACAAAUGAUUAGGGUGAAGUCGUAACAA
rnacentral:rRNA from 1 species